CCUACGGGUGGCUGCAGUCGGGAAUUUUGGGCAAUGGGCGAAAGCCUGACCCAGCAACGCCGCGUGAAGGAUGAAGUAUUUCGGUAUGUAAACUUCGAAAGAAUGGGAAGAAUAAAUGACGGUACCAUUUAUAAGGUCCGGCUAACUACGUGCCAGCAGCCGCGGUAAUACGUAGGGACCAAGCGUUGUUCGGAUUUACUGGGCGUAAAGGGCGCGUAGGCGGCUUGACAAGUCACUUGUGAAAUCUCCGGGCUUAACUCGGAACGGCCAAGUGAAACUGUCAUGCUAGAGUGCAGAAGGGGCAAUCGGAAUUCUUGGUGUAGCGGUGAAAUGCGUAGAUAUCAAGAGGAACACCUGAGGUGAAGACGGGUUGCUGGGCUGACACUGACGCUGAGGCGCGAAAGCCAGGGGAGCAAACGGGAUUAGAUACCCGUGUAGUC
rnacentral:rRNA from 1 species